rnacentral:rRNA from 1 species
UGUAUAAUGGGUCAGCGACUUAUAUUCUGUAGCAAGGUUAACCGAAUAGGGGAGCCGAAGGGAAACCGAGUCUUAACUGGGCGUUAAGUUGCAGGGUAUAGACCCGAAACCCGGUGAUCUAGCCAUGGGCAGGUUGAAGGUUGGGUAACACUAACUGGAGGACCGAACCGACUAAUGUUGAAAAAUUAGCGGAUGACUUGUGGCUGGGGGUGAAAGGCCAAUCAAACCGGGAGAUAGCUGGUUCUCCCCGAAAGCUAUUUAGGUAGCGCCUCGUGAAUUCAUCUCCGGGGGUAGAGCACUGUUUCGGCAAGGGGGUCAUCCCGACUUACCAACCCGAUGCAAACUGCGAAUACCGGAGAAUGUUAUCACGGGAGACACACGGCGGGUGCUAACGUCCGUCGUGAAGAGGGAAACAACCCAGACCGCCAGCUAAGGUCCCAAAGUCAUGGUUAAGUGGGAAACGAUGUGGGAAGGCCCAGACAGCCAGGAUGUUGGCUUAGAAGCAGCCAUCAUUUAAAGAAAGCGUAAUAGCUCACUGGUCGAGUCGGCCUGCGCGGAAGAUGUAACGGGGCUAAACCAUGCACCGAAGCUGCGGCAGCGACGCUUAUGCGUUGUUGGGUAGGGGAGCGUUCUGUAAGCCUGUGAAGGUGUGCUGUGAGGCAUGCUGGAGGUAUCAGAAGUGCGAAUGCUGACAUAAGUAACGAUAAAGCGGGUGAAAAGCCCGCUCGCCGGAAGACCAAGGGUUCCUGUCCAACGUUAAUCGGGGCAGGGUGAGUCGACCCCUAAGGCGAGGCCGAAAGGCGUAGUCGAUGGGAAACAGGUUAAUAUUCCUGUACUUGGUGUUACUGCGAAGGGGGGACGGAGAAGGCUAUGUUGGCCGGGCGACGGUUGUCCCGGUUUAAGCGUGUAGGCUGGUUUUCCAGGCAAAUCCGGAAAACCAAGGCUGAGGCGUGAUGACGAGGCACUACGGUGCUGAAGCGACAAAUGCCCUGCUUCCAGGAAAAGCCUCUAAGCAUCAGGUAACAUCAAAUCGUACCCCAAACCGACACAGGUGGUCAGGUAGAGAAUACCAAGGCGCUUGAGAGAACUCGGGUGAAGGAACUAGGCAAAAUGGUGCCGUAACUUCGGGAGAAGGCACGCUGAUAUGUAGGUGAAGCGACUUGCUCGUGGAGCUGAAAUCAGUCGAAGAUACCAGCUGGCUGCAACUGUUUAUUAAAAACACAGCACUGUGCAAACACGAAAGUGGACGUAUACGGUGUGACGCCUGCCCGGUGCCGGAAGGUUAAUUGAUGGGGUUAGCGGUAACGCGAAGCUCUUGAUCGAAGCCCCGGUAAACGGCGGCCGUAACUAUAACGGUCCUAAGGUAGCGAAAUUCCUUGUCGGGUAAGUUCCGACCUGCACGAAUGGCGUAAUGAUGGCCAGGCUGUCUCCACCCGAGACUCAGUGAAAUUGAACUCGCUGUGAAGAUGCAGUGUACCCGCGGCAAGACGGAAAGACCCCGUGAACCUUUACUAUAGCUUGACACUGAACAUUGAGCCUUGAUGUGUAGGAUAGGUGGGAGGCUUUGAAGUGUGGACGCCAGUCUGCAUGGAGCCGACCUUGAAAUACCACCCUUUAAUGUUUGAUGUUCUAACGUUGGCCCGUAAUCCGGGUUGCGGACAGUGUCUGGUGGGUAGUUUGACUGGGGCGGUCUCCUCCUAAAGAGUAACGGAGGAGCACGAAGGUUGGCUAAUCCUGGUCGGACAUCAGGAGGUUAGUGCAAUGGCAUAAGCCAGCUUGACUGCGAGCGUGACGGCGCGAGCAGGUGCGAAAGCAGGUCAUAGUGAUCCGGUGGUUCUGAAUGGAAGGGCCAUCGCUCAACGGAUAAAAGGUACUCCGGGGAUAACAGGCUGAUACCGCCCAAGAGUUCAUAUCGACGGCGGUGUUUGGCACCUCGAUGUCGGCUCAUCACAUCCUGGGGCUGAAGUAGGUCCCAAGGGUAUGGCUGUUCGCCAUUUAAAGUGGUACGCGAGCUGGGUUUAGAACGUCGUGAGACAGUUCGGUCCCUAUCUGCCGUGGGCGCUGGAGAACUGAGGGGGGCUGCUCCUAGUACGAGAGGACCGGAGUGGACGCAUCACUGGUGUUCGGGUUGUCAUGCCAAUGGCACUGCCCGGUAGCUAAAUGCGGAAGAGAUAAGUGCUGAAAGCAUCUAAGCACGAAACUUGCCCCGAGAUGAGUUCUCCCUGAGACUUAGAGUCUCCUGAAGGAACGUUGAAGACGACGACGUUGAUAGGCCGGGUGUGUAAGCGCAGCGAUGCGUUGAGCUAACCGGUACUAAUGAACCGUGAGGCUUAACCUUACAACGCCGAAG